UACAGAGGUCUCAAGCGUUGUUCGGAUUCAUUGGGCCUAAAGCAUCCGUAGCCGGUCCUGCAAGUCUUCCGUUAAAUCCAGCUGCUCAACAGAUGGGCUGCGGGGGAUACUACAUGGCUAGGAGGCGGGAGAGGCAAGCGGUACUUUAUGGGUAGGGGUAAAAUCCGUUGAUCCAUAGAAGACCACCAGUGGCGAAGGCGGCUUGCCAGAACGCGCUCGACGGUGAGGGAUGAAAGCUGGGGGAGCAAACCGGG
rnacentral:rRNA from 1 species